ensembl:processed_transcript zwi zwilling
UGUACAGAUUUCUCCCAGCACAGUCAACCUGCAGGGCACUGGAAUGCAAAGACUUUAGCCCACACAAAGAGGAGAGGAAACAGAGUGAGCACUGAGACUCUGAAGACCUGACAACCUACAUGCCUCCAUGGGGAACACCAGUUUUACGGAAGGGAAGACUGCCCUGUCUGUGGGUGGCUCUUCAAUAGCCAGGGGAAAGACUUCCAUCACAAUGGGCAAAUCCUCCAUCACCCGUGGGGUCACCACUACCUCUAUGGGCGACUCUACCAUUACCAGAGGCAAAACCACCAUCUCCCUGGGCAGAGCCAGCUUUAGCAGAGGCAAAACUACAACCUCCAUCCGUAAGGCCUUCAUGCCCAAGCGCAGGACCAAAUAGAUGGAAAAGAGAUCGGCAUACGCUGAAACAAAGAGCAAGACUUCAACGGCAAGGAAGAGCACUGAGAAGGAUGAGACAACAGAUCUAGAGCAAGAGGAAGACUCAAAAGCCUCAAAAGGAAAGGCUUCUCUUCUACUAAGAAAGACUUGCUUUACAAAAGGGAAAAUCAGACUGAUGAAAAGCAAAAAGGCCAUCUCAUGGGGGAAGACGCUUCUUUCGAGGAGCAAGACCAAACUGAGGAAGGGAGAGACUGCAUUUGUGAGUUCUUGAAUCACCGGAGUCCACACCUUUACAUUACUAGCUUCAGCUGUCCGGAAAACUUUCUCAAGGAGAUGCGCUAAACUGGCCAUUCCAUUUUUAUUGGAAAGUCAAGACAUGAGAACAUCGACAAGAGCUGAUCUUUGACUGCUGGAACUCUUACCUCUCAACUUUUGACCAGGGAGGCAGCCAUCAUGCCCUAUUGUACCCUACAAUGUGGUUUUGCCCUUUAGUGACAAUGCCACAGCCAUCCAUUGUUACAGAUCUUAUGGAAACCUCAAUCCAAAACAUCUUACAUUGGACUCAAGGUAUCCCGAUAGUAAAAACCAACCAACAAACAUAUAUAAACGUAUCAUGAGUGCCCUUAUUUUGAAGCUUUUUUAUUUAGCCUGACAUUUGUUUAGUCUGAGUGAAAAAACUGAUGAAACUGUGUGACUGUCUCUAGUUAUAUUAUGUCAAUGAUCUAGACUGUAUACUGUAUGUGUAACCAUUGUAGAAGAAGCAUGCGAAAAAUGCGAAAUCACUAAUGCUUUUGAUCUUAGCAUUGAAGGAACUGGACGGUGGGUGGGUUAUGGUGGGGAGUGAAAUUAACCAUGUUUCUGUUGGUCAGAACCCUUCUCCGCAAUGUCAGCAACUCUCAGUUUUAGCAAAGAUGCUUCAGAUAAACACACUGGCUCAAUUUGGGAUUUACUAUGAAAACUACACCCCCCCCCCUCCCUCUGGGUAAACUAAUUGGCAAGUUUAAACACUCCAGAAAUUCUACCUGGUUAAAGUUCGUUAUAGACUAUUCAACAGCUUUCAUAAAUAAGCAUUUACACUGAGAGACAUGACAAUGGGAAUGAGGGUUUGAUGAUUGAGAGUGAAGGAAAUAAAACGUAAUAAACUCCUGAUCUCAACCUACCAGAGAAAUACAGACACAUGACAGAGACACAACAUGUCCCCCCUAAGGGAAAUAUAAAGUAACUGAGCUAAUCGUGAUCCAAUUAAAUUAAGAACUGUUUGAGAUUUCUUUGCUAGCAGCCUUUAAUUGUAAUUCAGAUUUUUUUUUCUUGUCAAGUCCUGUGUCGCUUGUCGUUAAAUGUUACAAACAGCUCUGGCGUGGCCGCAUGAGGGAUGUGGGUUGUAGAAAAAGGCCUCUGCCCUUUUCAACAAGAGUGUCUUUGUGUUUAUAAUCAUCUGUAAGGUCUGAAGUCCAUUUUUGUCAUUCUUUGUUGUUCAUUUUUUCACCAUGCAUUUGCAUAGUAUGUGUUUCAUGUGUUUAACAACUCCUACGUUAUGUCAUCCCGAUGGUAGAACCUUGGACAGUUCGGUUCUAACCACUGUGCUGUAUGCUUAAUAAAUAUUUGUUGACAUU